AUUGAACGCUAGCGGGAUGCUUUACACAUGCAAGUCGAACGAGCGGCGGACGGGGGAGUAAGGUAUGGGGAAUGCCCGAUAGAGGGGGAUAACAACGGGAAAAGGUAGCGAAUACCGCAUACAAUCGGAUAACCCAGAUGGUGUUAGCUAGUUGGUGAGGUAAUGGCUCACCUAGGCGACGAUCCCUAGCUGGUCUGAGAGGAUGAUCAGCCACACUGGGACUGAGACACGGCCCAGACUCCUACGGAGGCAGCAGUGGGGAAUAUUGCACAAUGGGCGCAAGCCUGAUGCAGCCAUGCCGCGUGUAUGAAGAAGGCCCUCGGGUUGUAAAGUACUUUCAGUCGGGAGGCGUUACCGACAGAAGAAGCACCGGCUAACUCCGUGCCAGCAGCCGCGGUAAUAC
rnacentral:rRNA from 1 species